rnacentral:sRNA from 1 species
UAAGAUUGUUUUACUUUCGCAUAUGCCUCC